rnacentral:antisense_RNA from 1 species
AGGCCUGCAGUCCGUGCCUCGCUGCCCGCGCGGGGACCACACGGUUGGAGAGGCUGCCGGGCACCGGCGCGGGAGAUGCUCAGCAUGUACCUCCCGUCGGCCAGCCUGGGCUUGUUUUCCCAGUGGUGCUGGGUUCUGAGAGAGAGUAACUGCAAGGAAGGCCUUGAAGACUGGGCUUGGGCCUGCUGUACCCACAUGACUGCUUCUGCCACGUUCUACUGGCCAAGCUCUAUGGGCAGCUCAGACACAAGGGAAGAGACUCUGCUGCUUCCUGGGAGAAGCUGCAAGGCCACAUUGCAAAGGAACAUGUUGUCCCUGCUCCCAUGUUAAACCUUCGUCAGUGACCUGAGAUGCAGACUGGAUCCAGGGAAUGGUGUUUCCUGUGUGAUGCCUUCCAGGAGUAUCUGCACCGUCGGCAGUGCCAGGCUGAGGACAGAGGGCCUAAUGGAGGACACUCUACAACUCCAUCCUGCUGUUGGGGGGGCUUGGGGGUGCCUCCACGAGGGUCUUCAGAGGAAAGGCAUGUGUGUGAUCUGUGGCCUGCCAGCAGGAGAGCUGGGGGAGGCUGGCGUCUUGAGGCUGUUAGCAGCAAGUGCAGGCGGAGGCCUCGGGCCAGAGGGGAGGUGGCAGGACUCAGGUGCCCUGUGCUUCCUCGGAGAAGGCACUUGGGAUGAAGGCUUAGUCCUCCCUGGUGCACCUGGAGGCCUGUGAGCACUGGGGUUAGCCCCAACAAGGGAGGAGGUUCCCGCUGCCUCACUAAGAACAGCCUGCUGCUAUACCCACCCUAACAGGUGUUCCCCUCCCAGUGAGUCCCACCCUGAGAAGGCUCAUUGGGCCGUGGACCUCCCGCUGUGCUGCAUUCAGAAUCCUUCAAGAGUCGUAAACUUCCU